UAGGGACUCCGUCGGUUUCCAGUCCCAUUGGCCCAUUGGUUCCCUAUAGUCCUUUAAGGCCAUCCACAACUAUGUGUGGAGCUGACUGGUGUCCAAUCGGGGGCACCUGUGUCGAGGCGCUGGGGCUGAAGCUGCAGCGGCGGGAGCAGCAGCCCCAGUUCCAGGCUGACCAACCACUCUGGUGGCCUGGCAUGCCACUUCCUUAAGGUGUGAUAUAUCUAUGGGUUCUCUCUGCAUCCACACUCUCACAGCCAUCUGAACAUCUUUGGGCAACAUUGCUGCAAUAAGACUCAAUCUUGGACAGGGUCCUGGGAAUCACUCCCCCCUGGGCACGGGCCGGAUACCAGCCAGUUAACAAUCCCACUAAUACCAUUCUCUCCACAAAGACAUCAGUGGCCUCCUCUGGAGCAAGGGAGCCUGCUGUGUACUGGCAGCUCACCUCCUGCAGUGCCUCUCCUUGAGCCAAAUUGUGAACUUGCGUAAACAGGGACUGCCACCGUCUGGCAGCCUGCAUCCGCAGUGUGAUUCCCAUAUCGCACCCUGGUACAGUGGAUGCUGUCCUCAACAGCUUCCUAACCUCCUCUGGGUUUAACCCCAUAUCCUCUCUCGCCAUCAGAAACUGAUAUGCCCAUUCCAAGAAUGUGCUCGCCUUGGCUGCCCCUAACCCUGAGCCAGAGAAGUUCUCUCUUCAGGGGUCAAGGCUCCCUCCCUGGGCCGGGGGGCCGUGCUGGAAAGUUAACCAUUGCACAACUGCCAUCGGGGCUGGCCAAGCUCCUGGCCAUACCAUUUGGUCACCAUCUGGGAU